GGGGGGGGGGGGGGGGGGGGGGGGGGGGGGGGGGGGGGGGGGGGGGGGCGGGGGUGUGGGGGGGGCGCGAGGGGGGGGCGGGUGGGGAGCACGGGAGGAACCGGCGCGUGACUUUGGGGUAGCGUCAGGGAGCGGGGGCUAAGACCGGCUAGGUGCGUGUGCGGCAUAUGGGGGAGUAGACAAUUUCGGCGGGUGGGGAUGGACGCGCGGCUUGUGCGCUUGUUGGUGGGGUAGUGGCGUGGCAAGGCUUUGACGGGUAGCCGGCCUGAGAGGGUGACCGGCCACAUUGGGACUGAGAUACGGCCCAGACUCCUACGGGAGGCAGCAGUGGGGAAUAUUGCACAAUGGGCGGAAGCCUGAUGCAGCAACGCCGCGUGCGGGAUGACGGCCUUCGGGUUGUAAACCGCUUUCGCCUGUGACGAAGCGUGAGUGACGGUAAUGGGUAAAGAAGCACCGGCUAACUACGUG
rnacentral:rRNA from 1 species